rnacentral:rRNA from 1 species
CAGUAGCCGCGGGAAUACGAAGGGUGCAAGCGUUACUCGGAAUUACUGGGCGUAAAGCGUGCGUAGGUGGUGGUUUAAGUCCGUUGUGAAAGCCCUGGGCUCAACCUGGGAAUUGCAGUGGAUACUGGGUCACUAGAGUGUGGUAGAGGAUAGUGGAAUUUCCGGUGUAGCAGUGAAAUGCGUAGAGAUCUGAAGGAACAUCUGUGGCGAAGGCGACUAUCUGGGCCAACACUGACACUGAGGCACGAAAGCGUGGGGAGCAAACAGGAUUAGAUACCCCCGUAGUCCCUGUCUCUUAUAC